UCAGUUUCCUGGGACUGCAAGGAGAGCACUUCUGUCCUUUCUUUUCAUUAAAUGGUAGAUAGAAAGUGAAUCAUAUAUUUGCCUUUGCAGCUGCCCCCCAGAGACAACAGACAAACCUGCAUUUUGAAAAUUUUCUUUAAUUCCUGUUCCUCUCUGCUGCUUGCACUGGAUUGAGUUUUGUAUGCCAGGGGAAGGAUCCAGUCUAGAGUGAGAAGCUACAGUUCAGUCUGGUUCCUUGGAUAAUGGAGUUUAGAAUGUGGUGGGAAACCAUGUCAAAGGCCUUCUUAAAGAUGACCGGAAGAUGACAUCCACCCUGACACCCUCAUCCAGGGACUUUGUGACCUGAUCAUAAAAAGAAACCAGGUAAAAGUGCCUCCUACUGGUGUUGUAACGAAAGUUUGACACUUUAAACAAGAAAAAAGUGGUGGAGCAGAUGGAUGAAGAAGGCAUACUUCUCAAUGGCUGCAAAGGCAGACUAAGUAACCCCAGAUGUCUUGGAUCCCCUUGCCUUGACACCGGUUUCUUCUCUGCCGAGAUCCAUGCAGUUACCAAUGCGCAAAAGUUUCCUGACAUAAAACAAGUCAUGCACAGGCUUCUCCCACUGGAUCCAUCAUCUACCACGAUAACCAAUCACCGAUAAAAGAAACAAGACUGAGAAACCUGCAGUCUGACCCUCCCUUUAACCACCACCUGUGGUGUUUGCCAAAGAGUCUGCAGCACAAGGAUUGGCCUUAGCCAUCAAUAGACUAAUUUACAACCCUUUACUUGACCCAUGAGGGUGACCAUCCUCAACUGUGAAGGAUUGCUGCUGACAGCAACUCAUUUCUGAGUAUUUGAUUUUGCAAUCUUCAUGCUCCUGUAGCAUGUUUUUUUGGUAAAAUAUAAAAUACAUAGAUGGGUGUAUGGUUUUUAUAUGCUUAAUAAAAAAUGCCCAGAACAGUUCCUAUGUAUCAUUUGCAGGGAAAUGUGUCUUUCUCAUGCUAUCAUUCAUUAUUUGUCCUACAUAAACUCAGGACAAUGUGUUUAAGGGUAAUGGGUCAUUUAGUUUCAUUGUAGACAGCACUUAAUAGCUAUAAAGAUGCAUUCUCUUUUAUUUAAUUAAGAUGAUGAAUUUUUAAUCCAUAUCCAUUCUCAUGUUUGCGAGUAUGUUGUAUGGAUUGCUGUUUCUUGAAAAAUGGCAAACAUUUUCCCUAUUGAUUAUUUUCUGAUAAAUUAAUAAUAAAGAUAGCUUGCUUCAUGUUG